rnacentral:rRNA from 1 species
AUGCAAGUCGAGCGAGACCUUCGGGUCUAGCGGCGGACGGGUUAGUAACGCGUGGGAACGUACCCUUCUCUAAGGAAUAGCCACUGGAAACGGUGAGUAAUACCUUAUACGCCCUUCGGGGGAAAGAUUUAUCGGAGAAGGAUCGGCCCGCGUAAGAUUAGAUAGUUGGUGGGGUAAUGGCCUACCAAGUCUACGAUCUUUAGCUGGUUUUAGAGGAUGAUCAGCAACACUGGGACUGAGACACGGCCCAG